rnacentral:tRNA from 1 species
UGCGGGUGUAGCUCAAUGGUAGAGUUCUGGCCUUCCAAGCCAGCUGUGAGGGUUCGAUCCCUAUCCGUCGCAG